UACGAAGGGGGCUAGCGUUGCUCGGAAUCACUGGGCGUAAAGGGUGCGUAGGCGGGUCUUUAAGUCAGGGGUGAAAUCCUGGAGCUCAACUCCAGAACUGCCUUUGAUACUGAAGAUCUUGAGUUCGGGAGAGGUGAGUGGAACUGCGAGUGUAGAGGUGAAAUUCGUAGAUAUUCGCAAGAACACCAGUGGCGAAGGCGGCUCACUGGCCCGAUACUGACGCUGAGGCACGAAAGCGUGGGGAGCAACGGG
rnacentral:rRNA from 1 species